AAUUUUUAAAAAAUUUAAUUCUUUACUUAAUGUGUUCGGAUACAGAGAAGAUUAGCAUGGCCCCUGCACAAGCAUGACAAGCAAAUUCGUGAAGCAUACUUAAUGUGU